GGAUGUGUGGACCAGUGGACGGGGCGCUUGCCUGCGAAGCAAGAGAACGGGAGUUCGAUUCUCCCCACAUCCCCCA
rnacentral:tRNA from 1 species